UGGGGGAUAUUGCACAAUGGAGGAAACUCUGAUGCAGCGACGCCGCGUGAGGGAAGAAGGUUUUCGGAUUGUAAACCUCUGUCUUCGGGGACGAAACAAAUGACGGUACUCGAGGAGGAAGCCACGGCUAACUACGUGCCAGCAGCCGCGGUAAUACGUAGGUGGCAAGCGUUGUCCGGAAUUACUGGGUGUAAAGGGAGCGCAGGCGGAACUGCAAGUUGGGUGUUUAAUCUACGGGCUCAACCCGUAUCAGCAUUCAAAACGGUGGUUCUUGAGUAAUGCAGAGGUAGGCGGAAUUCCCGGUGUAGCGGUGGAAUGCGUAGAUAUCGGGAGGAACACCAGUGGCGAAGGCGGCCUACUGGGCAUCAACUGACGCUGAGGCUCGAAAGCAUGGGUAGCAAACA
rnacentral:rRNA from 1 species